rnacentral:lncRNA from 1 species
CCCACCAUGUCAGAAUAGCAAUGAUCUCACAAUAGGAGGUGGUCUGACUGCCAGCACAGUCUGGAGACUUACUCAGAACCCCACCCAUCCUCAACCAUUACCACACUCACGUCAAGCAGGCUGGCACCAGCCCAGACUGUACUUUCCUCAGACUCCCAGGCCUAGUUCAGGUCAAGCAGAUGAACUUAAUUGGUGAGUGACCCACAGCUGUGAAUUCCUCUGCCAUCCUCAGAGUCUUUGGCCCAGCUGGUGUCAAGCAGCCUGGGCACCCAACCAGACUGGUGAGUGGUCAAAACCUUGCCUGCCUUCCCUUUUAAAUCUUUGUAGU